rnacentral:tRNA from 1 species
GGCUGUGUGGUCUAGUGGUAUGAUUCUCGCUUCAGGUGCGAGAGAUCUCGAGGUCGAUUCUCGACACAGCCG